GAAUAGAUAAUUUUUUAUAUUUAUAAUAAUUUAUUAUAAAUUUAUUUUACAUGUAAAUUUUAGUAUUAAAUUUUAAUUAUUUUAAUAAUGAUUAAUUAUUAACUUAAACAGUAAUUAAAAUUAAAAAUUUAAGAGAUUAAGAUUUAGUAAUAUUUAAAUUAAUAACUAAUUUUGUGCCAGCAGUUGCGGUUAAACAAAAUUUAAAUUAAAUUAUUUCAGUUUAAAAUAAAUAAUAAAAUAUUAAAUUAAAUGUUAAAUUAUUAAGUGAAAUUUUAAUUUAAGUAAAAAUUAUUUAAAAAUUAUGAUUUAUUAAAUUUUAUUAUAAACUAGGAUUAGAUACCCUAUUAUUAAAAAUUUAAUUGAAAAUACUAAAAUAGUAGAUAAUAUAUUAUUGAAACUUAAAUAAUAUGGCGGUAUUUUAGUUCAUUUAGAGGAAUCUGUCUAGUAAUUGAUAAUCCACGAAUAAAUUUACUUAAUUUAUAAUUUUGUAUAUCAUUGUUAAAAAAAUAUUUUUAAAUAAAAAUAAUAUUUAAAAAUUUAAAAUAAAAUUUAAUUCAGAUCAAGAUGCAGAUUAUAAUUAAGUUUAAGAUGGAUUACAAUAAAUUUAUUUAAACGGAAAAAAAAAUUAAAUAUUUAAUUGAAGGUGGAUUUAAAUGUAAUUUUAAUUAAUUUAUUAAAAUGAUUAAAAAUUGAAAUAUGUACAUAUUGCCCGUCACUUUCAUUUAAAAAUUGAAAUAAGUCGUAACAAAGUAGAGGUACUGGAAAGUGUUUCUAGAAUGAA
rnacentral:ncRNA from 1 species